AUAAAUUUUGUUUCAUAAUGUCUCUCGCAUACUUCACUGUUAGAAAGUUGUUGGUGACUUUAUUUUUUCCCGCUUAUGUCAUCCCAUUUUUCUUUUAUUUCUUUCAUUUUAUUUAUUAUUUUCCUGUAGUAUGAAAGUGUUCUUCCAGAAAGAAGGAAAAAACAAUCUGCUUUCUCCCUACAUAUUGAAGUCAGAGGCAAAACUCUUGUGGCUUCAUUCCCAUGUGAAAGGCCUUGGGGUCCUCAGUAAAUGUUCAGGAAAGCUCUUUGUUGCUGCCUGUGUUGUGUGGAUGUCUAUCCCCCUUCUCCCUGUUGCUGCUACUGUCAAGAUGCCUGCUUCUGCUGCUCGUCACUGCUGAUGUGAGCAAGGCUAAAUCCAGAAAUGGCAGUGCUCUGCUUUAGUUGUCUUCAUUUGUUCCUCUCAUAGCAUUUUUGUGCUAAAACAAUGAUAGCUUGCCUCUGAGUAAAAUAAAAAUGCCUCAGGGAUUCCUUGUGCCUCACAUCUUGUAAACGUGAAAUAAAAAUGUGUACUCUUC